rnacentral:lncRNA from 1 species
ACUCAAACUUGGGUCUCCUGAUUUCCAACGUAGGCUUAUUUCCAUUCUAUUGUGCUCCUUUUCUAGCUUUGAUGGGAAGCAUCCCUGGUGGGAAAAGCACUGACUAUGAGUUCAAGUCCUGCCUCUGGCUCUUGCUGACUUUGUGACCUGAAGCAAGUCACAACCUAUCUGUGCCUCACUUUCCUCAUCUGUAAAAUCAAGAGAUUGAACUAGACGGCCUCUGAGGGCCCCUUGAACUCUAAAUCUCUGUGCCAUGAAGCUUGUGUGCAGCUACUAUCCCAGCCAUUCAACAAUCCCAGUAAGUACGAGCUUACUUACUAUUCAGCAUCAGUAUAGUCUCUCUUUUGCCCUUCAGCUUUCAUCUGGUGAAUGUCUUUCAGCAAUCUCCAGGCUUGUCAGCACCACUAUUAGAUGGUGGUCAGGACCAGGGCAAGCUGAAGGGGAAGGCUCAAAUCAAUCAGUUUUGCUAGGAAUGAAUUGUUUUGGUAAAAAGAUACAGAGAGGAAGUUUGAAAUUUGUGCCUGAAAAGACCUGUUUCCCCUCAUUAGCACAGAUAAUUAUGGCCUCUAAUCAUCAGCAUCCACUUUUUCUUGCUGACUUCCUGGGUGGUCUACAGUUUACCCCCAAAGCCUACCCCACCAUUACAGCUUCCCUUUUCCCAGAGGAAGAAGAGGAUGAAGAGGAUGAAAAGAACCACGAGUCUCCCUGGAGAGACUGCAAUCGCAAACAAGUUUCUCCCAGAAGCACUGUGCUUACAGAAACUCCAGGAAACUUUGCUGAUUCUAGAGAAGAAAGGAAGAUUCGUGCUGCUUCUUUAUGUAAUAUUUGAAGCAACAUGGCAGUGGAGAGAGUAGAUGGUAUGCUGGGCUUGGAGUGGAGCUCUUCUGGGGUAGGUACUUACUUGUUGUAUGACCCUGUUCAAUUGUCUAACCUUAAUCUGCCUCAGUUUCCUUGCCUUGGAAAUGGGAAUAAAUAAUACCUGGACUUCUUACUUUACA